rnacentral:lncRNA from 1 species
GGGCCUGUGCGACUGCUCGGUCACAUUCCCACGAAGCUGGACUGGCUUCUGUCUCCCCUGACGGCCCCUUUUUCAGAAAUGUCCUUCCUUCUUAGCCACCUAGACUGAAGCAGCCUUCUGACCACUCUUUGGGGCCAUAGGGAAAUCCUCUCUCUCCUUGUCAGGAACACAGUACUGUAAGAACAACAGGAGAGCGGAGAGUUCCAGAGUGUGUGACCCGAGAUAAGGCCAGACCUUGUCACAUUCAGAGGGAGGACCAUUGCUGCC